rnacentral:lncRNA from 1 species
CAAGAAUGAACAUACAACAUUAAAUAAAAAAACAGAAAAUAUAUAAGCGAAUAAAUCCAAAUUUACAACAGAAAUCUAAUAAAAUACUUAAGUGGAAACAAAGUAAAAUAAAAAGAAAAAUUUACAAAAUAAGUAAAAAUAGAAAAGGAGACAAUAUGUAACACACAUGAAUCCAUAGGGAUCAAUAUUGAAAUAAUCCCUGAUCAUGAAACAUUGUGUUGAAAUAUGGACUAAAACAUAAAAGUAUUCCAGAUUUUAGGGAUAAUUUAAAAGAAAAUAAAGUAAAUUAAAUGAAAAUGGGAGCAAAUUGCGCUGCAAUACAAGUACAAGGGACCUGCUGCGCAAAUAAACCAAUUUAGGCGCAAAGGCACCAAUUCGGAGCCCCAGGCGGGUUAACGCGCGGACCUUGGCUCCUUCCCCUGUGCGGCGUCGUUUUAAUUGGCUACUACACUUCCCCUUUUAAUUGUUUUGCCUUCCAAAACACAGCAAACUUUUUAGCCCAAAAAAAAUAUGCUAUCAGCCCCUUUUUCUUAGGUUUCGCAUAACACAUUGCUACCGCCAUCAAGCCCUCAAGCAAUGAAGUCGAUUUAGCCUCGAACUUCUUUCUCUAACUCCGAUUUCAACGAAGCAAAGAAAGAUUCAUGGCAACUUUACAAAGUAAGAUUCCUUCUUUCACUCUUCUUUAUAUUUUGAAAUAUAAUGCUAAAAUAUUGAAAAAGAAAAUGCAAUGAUUCUAAAAAAAGAAAUUUAAAGCGAGUAAAAAAACUGGAAAUCACCUUUCUAUUCUUGCUUUCGAAAUAUUCAAUGUGCUAAUGUAAGUGUAUAUUCUGUGGAUGGGUCUGUGUAAUCCUUUUGCAGGUACAGAAUGAGGCUUUUAUAGCCUGGAUUUACAGAGAAAAUAGUAAAAAGAAAAAAAUAUUUUUCUUGCUGUCAUCUGCCCAUUUCUGUUAUUCCUUUCUUUCUAGUGUAUUCUCUUUGCAGGAACGGUUGUACGGAGGAGCGACCCUGGUGACGUGGAGACCAAUUGUCAAAAAUUUUUUUACACGAGACUGACCUUUCGGUGACCUUCUGGUUUACUCCAGAAGCUUCCAGCAUCCUCAAGAUACUGAUGCAAUUUUUCUUGCAUAUUGGGCCUCGAUUUUGGGCCGAAUUUAAGAUGUGAAUUGAUUUCAUUGGGCUUUAGAAUUUGGGCCAAAUAUUAUGUAAUUAGGGCUAAAGAACUUUGGGGUAUUUGGUUAAGAAAUGGGCUUAUUGUAAUUGGGUUUUAAUUUUUAUGUAAAGGGUUUUGGGGUAUUUAUUUAAUUGGGUUGGAUAUUUAUAAAUGGACUCUUUGGACUUAUUUAUUUUUGGAUUUUUAUUUUGGGUCUAUCUAUAUACAAAUGAGCCAGGACAAAAAUGGGCCAUUACAUUAUAUAUGUUGUUUUAUUAUGCUUAAAUAUAAUUUAUGAUUUUUUGAUUUGUUUUAUUUUUGGAUCUUAGUAACUAGUGUGGCAUUUUAUAUUCAAUUUUCGUUCAAGUCGAGUGUAGGAUAUUAUCACAUUCAUAGGCCUCGAGAUAUACCUCCAAGAAAAAUAUGUUAUUAAAAAUUAACUUUCCCAAAAUCAUAUUUUAAUAAAUAAUAAUGAAAUAUCUAAUAACAUUGUAAGAAAAAAACACUUAGACAUGUUUUUUUUUUCAUUUUAUACUUCAUUAAGAAAAUACAUAUUCUAUAAAAUAUUAAUUUAAUUAGUAUCUCUACAUAGUAAUUAAUAGUUCUUAAAGAUAUAGUAAUUAAUAUUUUGACAUACAUUUAUUAUAUAUAUAAUAAGUAAAUAAAAUUUUAAUUAAAAUAGUAAAUUUAAAAUUUAAAUAUUAUGAUGUUUUCUGUAAAAAAAAAUUAUAAUAUUUUAAAUUUAAAUUUUAUUAUUGUUUCUCUAUAUUUAAAUAUAAAAAUAUUAUUACAAUAAUAUAAUUUUAUAAUUAAAUUAAUAUUUAAUUAAUUCUUCACAGCAACUCAAUUAAAUAUUUUAACUUGGUAUAUAGAGGGAGAGAUAGAGAGAGAAAGAGAGAGAUCCAAAGUUAUGUGGGAAUUGCAUGAAUGUGGUCCUUCAUGUGCCUCGAAUUGCUAAACACCCCAUCUCAACCACCACCAAUUUAGGACCACAGUCAAUACAAUAGCCUACAGCCAGUCCAAUUCCACCUUCCACCAAAACCCUCCACCUGUUAUUUUUAUUUAUUUAUUUUAAAUAUUACUAUUUGUUAAUAUCCCCUAAUUAUUUUAUUAAUAUAAAUAUAUAUUUUAAAGAAUAUGAAAAUAUUUAAAUGCGAUUGAGCCUUAAUUCAGUUGAUAUUAAUAUUAUUAUUAGAGCAAGAGUACGUUAAUUUGAAUGUAUUAAAAUACGUUUAUUUUCCUAUUUAAGAGUAAAAAAAAAGGUUAUGAAUAGUUUUAAAUAUUACAUCAAAAAAAAUAUUCACCUUAAAUUACAUGUAUUUAGAUCAGUGAAUUAGAUGAUUUGAAUCAGUGGAUUUGAGUUAUUUUAGGUUCGGACUAAUUUUAAGUUUAACUCAUUUAAAUUUGUAAAUUAAAUUUCUUGAAAAAGGUGAUGUUGUUAAUUUGUAAUUAUGAAUUUUAGUUUUUCUGAAUUUUUUUAUUCUUUUUUAGUUAUUUUUUUAGUAAAUUAUUUUUAAAUUCAAAUUAUUAAUUUGGACCAAAAUUUGUAAUUCGGAUAAAAUAUGAUAUUUUAUUACAAAUUGCCGCAUUUUCAAACUUAUCAUAUUAAAAUUAGUUUGAAGCUUAUCAGGUUUCCAGAAAUUGAGGUAUUUUUUUAAUAAUAUUAUUUAAUUGCGAGUGAGAAUAGAGCACCUCUUUGAUUUGUGCAUGACGUGUUAAAUCAAUCCUUUAAUUACCCAAUGUCUGUACUGUUGCUUUUGCUUCAAAGUAACCAAAUAUAGAAACGUAGGUAUUCUUAGUUUUUCUUUUCUCCAAGUUAAAGAGUCUACCGAAUAUGACAAAUAUGAAUCAAGAUUUUUGGAGUUAUGUUUAGUGAAUUAUAAGAUAUAUAUAUAUAUUAUUUAAUCAUUCAAUUUAACACUCCAAAUAAAAUUAAGUCCUAAGGCCUGUGAAGUUUGGGUGAAUCUUGGUUGCUACAAGCCUUUUUUGUCCUAUUAGUAUUUUCUGAUAAAUUAAAAAAUUAAGUAUAAAAUAUAAGAUUUUAAUUUAUUUAUGUGGUUGAAUUUGAUAAAUUGAAAAUUUAAGUACAAAAUAUAAGAUUUUAACUUAAUUACGUGGAUUCAAUUAAAUUCAAAAUAAUGUGAUCUAAUUUAAAGAGAUAAGAGUUUUACAAUUUGGUUACUUGAUGGACAUAUCGAAUUCAAAAUAAAGAUUAUAUCCUCUAUCACGUAGGGUUUGUGUAAUGAAAAGAAAAUGUUAAGAAGGGAAAAUCAAUUAAUCGGAUUCUUCGCCAAGUCUAAUAGCCAAUCCCAAUUCCGCAUAAAAUAUUUUUUUUGUUUGUGAAAACCAUAUUAUUCUAAAAAUACUAAAUUUGUUGUUUAUGCAGUAGAAAUUUGAUUUACAUAAUAAUUAUAUCUUAAGAUUUUACACAUAAUUUCUUAGAUAAAAAUUAAAUAUAAUAAUUUCAAUAUUUUAUUUGAUUAAAAGCGUCAAUGAGAAUUUAUUUUGAGGAUAGUUUUUUUAGUAACUAUUUGUCUAUUUAUUCUAUUCACAUUUUUUAUUAAAAAAUUUCAAUUAAUUAAUUUUCAGAUAUAUUUAAAAAAUUAAAUGUUAAAUUUUUUAAUGGAUUGUAAACCUCACCCUUAAUAUUAACUAAAUAUUAAUUGCUUCUAUGAUUACAGGUUGAUAAAUAAGAGUGGCAUAUAGUUGCACCGAAAACUCCUAAAUUUCUUUGAUGUUAACAUGAUAAUGAAAUAUGAUAACUCUUAGAUUGCUAUCAACUAUAAUUUUUUCAUAUUAGUAGAAUUAAAGUAAUGUGUACAUUAGUUAGAGUUUUUCUUUUCAUUAUGACUUCAUUUUUAAUUUUAUGAAAUGUGGGUUUGAAAAUGGAAUUGAUGUAGGGUCGAUGGGUUCCAAAGGAGGUCUUUCUCUAGGUUGGUAAGGGAGUUUUUUGGUUCAACUUAAAAGUUUUUCCUUUUUCCACAUUGAUGUUGAGGUUCAUGACCAGGAUUGUGAUGCUGUGUGGCGCUUUACAGGAUUUUAUGGGAAUCCCAAGGAAAGGAGUCGUAAUGAAUCGUGGGAUCUGCUUAGAAGAUUUGGAAGGAGCAAACAAUUCCUUAGGUUGUCUUGGGUGACUUUAAUGAAAUUGCGCAGUCUUUCGAAAAAAAGGGUGGUCGUCUAAGAGCUGAACGUCAAAUGAAUGCUUUUAGAACGGUGUUGGAAGAGUGCGAGCUCAAUGAUCUUGGGUACAUUGGUCAUUAGUUUACAUGGGAGCGUGGAAGACUUUCCUCAACUAAUAUUCGAGAGAGACUAGAGUUGCGACUUUGAACUGGGUUAAUCUUUAUCCUAGUUGUCAAUUAGAGCAUCUAAAUCAUUCAUUCUCUGAUCACUAUCCCAUUCUUUUGGAUACAGUGGGAAAGCAAAGGAAUCCUUCAUGUUAUAAAAAGAAUUUCUUCCGUUUUGAGGCUAAAUGGUGUCUGGAUGGUUCUUUUGAGGAUGUUUUACAUAGAUAUUGGAAUGGUUUUUCAGGUAAUGUUCCAGGAAAACUUGAAAAUCUAGGCCAGCAGCUUCAAAGGUGGAGUAAUUCCAAAGAUAGAGAUAUUAAAGAAAACCGAAGGAAAUAUGAUGAGAGGCUCAACUUUCUUUAUAAUCAAGACCCAUCAGAUGAUAUCUUGGCUAAAAUCACUGAUAUUUAUCUGGGACUGAAUUUAGAGGCUGAUCAGGAAGAGCUCUAUUGGGAACAACGUACUCGGAUCAAUUGGCUGAAGAAUAGUGACAGAAAUACCAACUUUUUUCAUACUAUUGCUGUCCAACGUAAUUUACGGGGUAAAAUCAAAGAGCUAGAGGGGGUGAAUGGUGAGAAAAUAUAUACAAAUGAGGAUAUGUUGAAGGUUGCCUCAGAUUUUUUUGUUCAGCUAUUUUCGGCUUCAGAAUCGGGUGUUGACGAGCGCGUUUUUGGGUUAGUGGAGAAGAGGGUUACUGAUGAUAUGAAUGCGUCUCUUCUUAAAUAGUUUAUGGAGGAGGACAUUACCAAUACUGUUAAAUCAAUGGCACCGCUGAAAGCUCCUGGUUUCAAUGGUUUUCCGGCAAUCUUCUUUCAAAGGUACUGGCACAUUCUUGGAGCUGAUAUUUCUAAAUAUUGUUUAGAUGUCUUAAAUGGUAAUUCUGAUCUAGGUGAUAUUAACAAAACAUGCAUUGUUUUAAUCCCUAAAAUUGACAGACCAAAAAAUCUUUCACAUUUAGGCCCAUUAGUCUUUGUAAUGUAAUCUAUAAGAUUAUCGUGAAAGUCUUGGUAUUUCGCAUGAGCUUUAUUUUGGGUUGUUGUAUCAAUGAAGCCCAAGGGGCUUUUAUCCCUGGAGGACUUAUUUCGAAUAAUGUGAUAGUUGCUUAUGAGGUCCUCCAUUCUUUGAAGAUGAAGAAAAAAUGAAAAAAUGGGAAUUUUGCGCUUAAACUCAAUAUGAGUAAAGCAUAUGAUCGGGUGGAAUGGGAUUUUUUGGCCGGUAUGAUGACUUAUUUGAGUUUUCAUGAGAAUUGGAUUAUUCUUAUCAUGAGUUGUGUCUGUUCUGUUUCUUGUUUGGUGAGUAUUAAUGGUUUGAAUGAAGAGUGGUUCUCACUGUCUAGAGGGUUAAGGCAGGGCGAUCCUCUUAGCCCUUACCUUUUUCUUAUAUGUGCAGAAGGGUUUUCUACUCUAAUUACGGAAGCUAAGCAAAAAGGUCUAAUGAAGGGAGCUGCUAUUGGACAAGAAAGAUUUGCUGUCAAUCACUUAUUCUUUGCGGAUGACUGCAUCUUGUUUGGUGAUGCUUCUAUCGAGGGAGCUACUGUGGUUAGAGCGAUUAUUAAUGAGUAUGAGGAGAUAUCAGGUCAGAGAGUGAAUUUUGAAAAGACUUUUAAUUUAUUUCGGGGCUAAUGUUGAUGCCAACACUAAGGUUUCCAUUACUAAUACCUUAGGUGUAAGGGUUGCCUCGAAUCCUGAAAAAUAUUUAAGCUAACCCAUGAUGGUUGGUAGGAAGAAGAAUUGGGCUUUUACUAAUUUUAUAGAUCAAUUUAAGAGAUGUAUUGCGGGCUAGAGUUUACGCUAUUUAUCAAUGGGAGGCAAGGAGGUUUUCGUGAAAUCCGUUUUGCAGUCAAUCCCGAUUUAUGUUAUGCAAUGUUUCGCUUUGCCGAAAAUUUUAUGCCGUAAACUCGAAGGCAUUAUGAAUAAAUUCUAAUGGUCUAAUAAUAAGACAGCUAAAGGUAUUCAUUGGAGUAAUUGGGAUGCAUUGUGUAAACCGAAAAGUGUGGAUGGGCUGGGUUUCAAAAAUCUGUUUUUGUUUAAUAAAGCACUAUUAGCAAAGCAGGUUUGGCGCAUUUUAUCCCAGCCCACUAGUCUUUUAGCCAAAGCUCUUAAAGCUCGUUAUUACCCUAAAUCUGAUAUCUUAUCAACCAAGGUAGGUUCUUACCCCUCUUUUACCUUAAGGAGCAUCUGCAGUGCUCGAGACUUAAUUGCUGACGGUAUGCUGUGGCGAAUUUGUAAUGGAUCUUGUGUUAAUAUUUGGAAUGACCCGUGGAUUCCUAGCAGUGAGAAAAACCGAGUAUCAGUUCAAAAAAUUUCUUCGCAUUGGACGACUGUUAACCAUCUGAUUGGAGAGGAUACUAAUACCUGGAAUAAGGAUCUGAUUCGUAGUAUCGUUGAUGAUGAGCAGGUAAAUUGUAUUCUAUCCAUACCACUCUCUGCCUCUAGGUCGGAGGAUAUCUUGGUGUGGAAGCAUGAGGGUUUUAGGGACUACUCGGUCAGAAGCGGGUAUCAAGUCCUAGUUACUGAUUAUCUGCAAAAUCAUAUUUACAUCAAGCCUAAUCUUGAGACUUACAAGGAAUUUUACAAAUUUCUAUGGUCUUUGCACAUUCCCGCAAAAAUUAAAAUAUAUUUAUGGAUGCAUUUUAACAAUUUUCUAUCACACUUUAGUAACUUGGCAGUCAGAUCCUUGUGGGUUGAUUUAUUUUGUCCCCUUUGUAAGAAGGGACCAGAGGACACGGAUCAUCUUUUGUGGUCCUCUGAAGUUCUUCAGUCAGCAUGGGCAUCCCUCCAAAUUCGAACUGUUCUUUCUAAUCGCAAAUUGAGCUACAAAGAUCUUUUUGUUAAUGCAUUUUGUUUAGCAGAUGAACAAAGCAAAUAGUUUAUUGCUAUUUCUUUAUGGGCUUUGUGGUUUAGAAGAAAUAAGCUUGUUCAUGAAGGUAACAAAUUCUCUUUGCAGGAGCUUUUAGGUUUCAUUUGUGGUUAUAGACAAGAGCUAGUCCAGUGUCAAGAAAAGUUGGGAGUUAUUUCUAUGCCAACAUCAGAAACAUUUUGGUAUCCUCCAGGUCUAGGUGUUAUCAAAGUUAAUUUUGAUGCAUCUUUUCAGAGUGACUCAAGAACAUCUAUUUCAACAGUGAUAGGCAGAAACCAUAGAAGCUGAGACUUAUCUGUUCACUAAUGUGGCUUAUACGUUUAUGGCAGAAGCAAGGGCGUGCGAACGAACGGUGCUUCUUGUGAUCAAUAUGGGUUUCCGUCAGGUGUUGGUGGAGGGAGAUUCCUUGAUUGUUAUAAAAAAACUCAAAUCAAAAGAAGAAGAAAGAUCUCUCAUUAGACCUAUUAUUCAGCAGAUUCGUAAGUUAGAAAACUGUUUCGACAAAAUUGAUUACCUUUUUGUUCCUUGCUUGGUUAAUGGUGUGGCACACUCUGGCAAUGAAAGGACGGAUAAGACAACACUCUGGGUUCUAGGUGGAUGACGUUCCGAAUUCAGUCAAAAUGUUGGUGGAGAAAGAUCAAAGACUAUUGGAACAGGGAUUUUGAAGAUGGGUUUUUCGCUUUGAAUAUAGAGAAGGUUCUUUGAAUCUCCAUGGUUGGUCUCAAAGCUGCUGGUUUCUUGCUGCAUUCUUUAUUUUCUCUCUAUUUUUUGGGGAUGAGGAAGCUGGUUCGGCUGAUAGUUUUUGGUGGGUUAUCUAUUUCAUCCCUUAGCUUAAGGGGUUUUGUUGAUUUUCUUUAAUGGUUUUGUUUUUCUAGGGGCGGUUCUUUGACUGUUUGGGCUACUAUCAUGUGGUUUUACUAGCUUUCCUAGUUGUUUUCCUUUAUUUUUUCUUUACUUUUCCAGUUGUAUUUUUAGUCUCCUUGAGCCACGAGAUGAAUAAAUAUCAGUCUUUUAUUUCAAAAAAAAAAUUAAUCCUAGACCUUUUAAAAAUAGUGAAAUUGUUAUUUUUAAAUGUAAAUAACGACUAAAACAUUAAAUUUUUAAAUAUGACAUCUCACAUGGUAGUUCAUUUGUACUUUUUCUAAAAAAAUUUAACAACUUUUUUUAUAUAUAUUUUUAUUUUAAAAAACUUAUUUUGUGAUUAUUUGUAUAAUUUAAAAUUACUUGUUGGCGUGACAUUUAAGAUAAAUAAUAUCAUAUCAGCAUAAAGUAUACGUGGAUUGUCACGCGAAUUGUCACAUCAAUAUUGUUAAAAAAAUAAUAUUUUUGUAAUGAUCCAAAAAUUAAUGGUAACAGAAAGUGUGGUUUCGGUACCCUAUUUUCGUAAACUGGUAUUUUGGGGGCGAAAUGAAUUUCGGUUAAAAAAUUCUAUCAAAUUAGUGUUUAAUUUAAGUAUAGGGACUAAAUCGUGUAUGUGAUAAAAGUGUGAAUUUGUAAGUUAAAACAUAGUUAAGGGAUUUUUUAGGAAAUUAAACUGAUGUUAAUCCUUAAUGGAUGAUAACAAGGCUUUAUAAUGUUAAAAUUUGUGAUAAAAAAUAUAUAAAAAAAAAGUAAAGUAAAGUUUUGUAACAUGAAAACAUUAGUGGAUUGAAAGAAAAAAACAAUUAUUCUCUUUUCAAUCUUCAAUAUUUCGAACAUAAGGAGGGGAGAAGAAGACCAACAGCAAGGGUUUAUAAGUUUCAGAGCUUCAAUUUGGUAUGAUCAAUUUAGUCUUUAUAUUGUAAUUUUUAUGUUUUUAGAAUUUUAGUAUCUAGAGCUAGUUAACCCAUGUCUUAUUUUUUGAUACUGCUUAAGAUUUUAGAUGAUACCAUUGUUGAGUAGUUAAAACUUUAGAGACUAGUUGGAUAGAUUUUUAGGUUAGAAGUGAAAAAGGAUUGAAUUGUGAAGUAAUUGUUGAUUUUGAGUAAUAAGGACCAAAUUGUGACCACAAUUUAAGGGUAGAAAUGAGAAAUAGGGAGUUAAUUUGGCUUAGGGUGUAAUUGGUAUAAAAAUUUAGGGUUAAAUGUAGAAGUUAGGCUAGUCUUGAUUUUUGGGACUAAAUUAAAUAAAGUGCAAAAGUUAUGUAAAUUAGCAAUUAAAUGUGAAAUUGUUUGUGUACUGAUGAUAUGUAUGGUUUAUUUAUUUUUCAUAGCUAAUGUUGACCUAGAAUCCUCAAAAAAGAAGGGAAAAGACAAGGUCGUUAACGAAUAGCUCGGAGUUUACGAUUUGUGUUUCAAAAAUCUUAACUAAAUUAUAAAUUACUGCAUACUGAUUUGUUUGCACAUGGUAAGUAAUUGAGGUGAGAAUUCUUGUUCAAUUGGUCUUAUUUGAAUCAUUUGAUGAUUAGAAUGACUCGAUUAUGUAUAUUUGAGAAAUAUAUGUAUUCAUAAAAUUGUAUGAAUUGAAUAUAAAUUUUGAGUAAUUGUGGUUGAGUUCAAGUUGAAUAAAGACACACAUGUCGAUAAUAUAUAUGAAAUUGAGAUAUUGACUGUAUUGAAAUAUGAAAUGAAAAACCUUUUAACUAUUUUGGUUGAGUCGGAUAUAGUUGACAUGCCAUAGAAUAGGAAGUGUUCAAGGUUACUUUGACUAUGAGUUGAUUAGGCACUGGGUGUCAAUUUGCUUCAGUUUAACCGAUGAGACACUAGGUGUCAACUUAUUAUAGAGCUAGGUGCAAUUAUUUUCUUCGAAUUUAUUCGAUGAGGCAUUGGGUGUCAAACUGGUGUGUUGGUUGGAUCCGUGUAUCUGUUUAAGUUUAAGUUUUGUUGAUAGGGAUAUAAAGGAUAAAAAGAUCUGAAUGAUUUGAUAUUGUUAAGGGAUUAUGAAAAGGAAAAGAAAUAAGUUAUGAAAUGAAAGUGUGAUACAUAAACUAAAAUGAGAAUAGUGAUAUGUUAUGUUCCAUAAGUUUUGAAUUUAGACUUUGAUAUGAAAAUGGUUUUAUAUGCAUUUUAAUAAUAGACUUGAUAAUCUUACAUGUCAUUUUUAUUCCAUAAUCUUAUAUCUUAAUGAUUAUAUAUUAUACCUAAUGUUUGGAUUAUAGAAAUACAACUAAGAUAUGUUUAGCGUAUGUUUUGUGUUCUGUGCGUAGGUUAGGUACAUUUCAGUUUGUUGUUGACUCAGCAUCCAACAAUGAUCCCGGUUUCAAGUGUGGUGGUGCUUCUAUUUUUGUUAUGGCAUGUACCUAGGAGGUUUUUUGUAGUGCCCCAAUUUUUGCUUAUGUAUUUUGUUUUGGUAAAUUGUUUCAAGUAAGGUGAUUUGUCUUAGCGAGUGUCUGCUUCAGUAUGAAGGUUGGGGUUGGAGUUACUGGUUCGAGUCCCUGAGAGAGCAUUUUGGGUAUUUUUGUUUUGUACAAAUCAAAUAGAGGAGGUUCAGUUAAAAUGUAACUCUUGGAAGGGUAUAGAUAUGGAUGAGAUUUGGGGGUUAGUGGGUAGUUGAGUUUGGUUUAAAUUUGAAUUAGUGGCUAAAUUAUAGGGGUUGAAGGGAUAUAGGGUUAGUUAAUUUUUAUUUUGAUUUAUUUUUAUUUUUUUUCUUUUUCCCUAAAUUCCCUUCCCAAUUUGCACGUUCCUCUUCUCCUUUCCAUUUUAUUCUUUCUCCAUCUUUCCUUCGUUUUUCUUUUUCACUUGAUUUCUUAACCAAAAUUGCUCCACGUGAACCAACACUUGUUUUUACAACCUUGUUUCUUUGCCUUUUGUUACUUUGUUUUAUCGAUACUUGGUGCUUGGGUAUUGCGCUUUUGUGGGUAAGACUUGAUUCUAUUAUAUUUUGGGAACAGAAAUUCUCUAAGUGUUCAUAAGUAAAAGUUACUGUUGUUUUGGUAGGAGUUUCUGUUAAAUGUUGUUACUAGGUUUAAAGUGUAAGUUGGCUCUGUGUAUUAUUGUUGCUAGGUGAUAUUCAAGAAAUCUGGGAUUCUCCUAUUAUGAAUUAGUUGUUUAGGGCAGCCGUAGACGUGGGUAAGUGUUUGAAAUAGUUACGACUACAACCCUUUUUGUUGAAAUUACUUAUGGAUGCUUUAGUUAAAUGGUUACUAGAUGAAAAUUGAUGGAUUGAGACUGAUUUUGGGCAUGUUGUUGUCGAUUUUUAGGUUUUGUUUACUCCGAUGGUGCAAUUGUAAAAAAAUCAAAUCAGGUGUGUAACAAGAAACCCAAUAAACAACGAACGACGAAGGCCGAAAUUGGGGCAUGUUGACGCCACACGAGCUGUAACACCCUAAAACCUGGCCUAGAAGUUUAGACCGAAUCUUGAAGGUUACAUUGAUCACCAAAGUGAUCGUAGGAAAAUUUUAUAAAGCAAAUUAUCUCAAAUUCCAUUUCAAACAUAUUUAUCUCCUUACGAACCAAGAACAUUUAAUCUUGUAGAUCUCAAUCAGAAAAAAAUUAAAGUGAAGUUUAAUUUAUGAACAAAGUAAGAUUUACGAGAAAAAAAUAGAAACAAAACUUGUACCACAGUUUCUAUAAAACUUUACAGUUCAAAACAGUAUAUCAAAAUAGAAACUAAAAAGAAAAACUGUUAAUUUAUUUUUAAUCGCGACUGUUUUAGACCUCCACAUAUCGAGUCUAGCGUCAGAAUUUAGAAAUGUACCUGAAAGGGGAAACACUAAAUGGUGUGAGCUACACGAGCUCAGUGUGAGUUCAAAAUGAUUAACUACAUAUUUACAGAAGAGUACUCUAGAUGGCAGUUCAACAGUAAAACAUAAUUACAAAGAUAUGCAGAAACAGAAAGCAAACUCAGAACCAACGUCCCAACAUACGUAACAGUCAAAGCACACCAACUCACAUACAGAAUACUCAACACAAGUGUUACUCAAUUAGACAGAAUAUAGUCAAAUAAUCUUACACCUAGAACACCCGUGUGGAUGAGGCACACGCCCGUGUGGGCCAGGGACAUGGCAGUAUGAACAGGUCGUAUAACUCUUUGUCUGUUUGUGUUAAAAUGAAGUGCAGGGCAGACAUGGUCGUAUGAGGGUCUCACACGCUCGUGUUCCCACCACACACGACCGUGUGUCCAAAACACAGACUCGUGUGGCACCAAAUCACUAAAUCCCUAAUUCUCAUACACACAUACCCGUGUGCCCAGAGGACAUAGCCGUGUGGAAAUCGAAAAAAAUACCCAAAUUAGUCACAAGGUCAUGUGGAACCAAAAUUUUACCCACAACCCUAAUUUCUAAUUGUAUGCAACCGUGUGAACCACCCGUGUGGUCACGAAACCACACCAUAACUGGCCAAAAUCUCAGUUUUGCGAUCUUAGAACAAACCCCAGUCGUUAACCACUUCUUAAAUAAUAGAAUCUUAUAAAAAUCCUCUAGAUUCAACAACAAUUUCAUAUCGAAAAUAAGCAGUUCAGAACACACACACAAUGCCAAAUUUCAUAGCAAUUUGGUACCAAUUACCCAAUUUAGUACACACUCAAAAUUAUCAAAUACCAUAUAAUUGAAUUAACAAAUAAAAAAAUAGAAGAUAAGAGGUUCGAAACCCACAUCUUAAUUUGAGAUAAAAACCCCCUACAAUUAAUGAACCACAAAGCCUUCACUCGCUGCGCAAUCAUAUCUCUCGCAAGAACCUGAAACCAAAUUAAAACGACGAAACCACAAUGAAGAAAGAGAAAGAAUUUAGUGAAAAAAAAAGGAAAGAGGAGAAAAGAGGCACGUACCCAUAAACAUUAGGAAACCCCAAAAAGAACGUGAAAAGAAAACUCCCGUUUUCUUUUUUUUUCCCUUUUUUUUCCAUAUCACAAAAUAAAAACUUCAAAAAUAAAAAUAAGCAAAACAAAUAAAAAUAAAAUCUAACAUUUUAAAACCAGAACAAAGCUAAAUCAAAAUAAUUCCCUCAAAACACACUUGAGGACUCGAACCCGGGACCUCCAGGCUAAACUGACACACAACCAACCACCAGACCAGUAAGCCCAUCUAACACUUGAACGUGAAAACAAACUCAAAUACCAGAUCUAGCCACUGACCCUACCUACAAAUCCCGAAACUUCUAACCCAAAAAACCAGGGUGUUACAACUCACCCCUCAUUAAAAAAAAUUUCGUCCUCGAAAUUUCCAACUAAUAGAACAGUCGCUUAAUCUAGGGUCAACCACUAUGCUCCCCUGUACACUUUAAACUCGAGCAGUUCUGUACCAAACUUAAGACCUCAACACACAAUCAGAACACUUAACCACUGAAGCAGAUACACAUUUAUAUAUAUGACAUACAUAAACAUUACGAUUCAAAACAUUACAGAACUAGUCUUACUCUUUCUCCAAGUUUCGCAUGAAUCAGCAUCAGAGUCUCGGAAAGCUCAUUUUCACAAAAACUUACUCGACAACACCAAUCAUUUUAGAACACUGUGGUAUAGUUUCUCAAAUUUUUUUUAAAAAUGAACACAUGCACACAUGGUUAAGUAAAAACAUAGGCCAAGUUUUUGCAAACGUGGCUUCGAUACCAUUAAAUGUAACACCUUAAAACCCAGCCUAAAGUUUAGAUCAAAUCCUGGAGGUUACAUUGAUCACCAAAGUGAUCGUAGGAAAAUUUUAUAAAUUUAUUUUUUCUCAAAUUCCAUUUCGAACAUAUUUAUCUCCUUACAAACCAAGAACAUUUAAUCUUGUAGAUCUCAACCAAAAAAAUUUCAUUUAAGUUUAAUUUAUGAACAAAGUAAGAUUUAUGAGAAAAAAACAAAAACAUAACUUGUACUACAAUUUCUAUAAAAUCUUCCAGUUCAAAAUAGUAUAUCAAAAUGGAAAUUGAAAAGAAAAACUGUUAAUUUAUUUUUAACCGUGACUGUGCGAGACCUCCGCAUAUCGAGUCCAGUGCUAGAAUUUAGAAAUGUACCUCAAAGGGGAAAUAUUAAAGAGUGUGAGCUACACGAGCUCAAUGUGAGUUCAAAAUUAUUAACAACAUAUUUACAGAAGAGAACUUCAGAUGGCAGUUCAACAGUAAAACAUACUUACAAAGAUAUGCUAAAACAGAAAGCAAAUUCGGAACCAAUGUCCCAACACACAUAACAGUCAAAGCACACCAAGUCACACACAGAAUACUCAACACAAAUGUUAUUCAAUCAGACAGAAUACAAUCAAAUAAUCUUACGCCCAGAACACCAAAUUUGAUGCAUAUGAAUGCAGUCAAGUAUUAAAAACCCACCCAUCCAGCCAAAACACCUCUUCGUCCCCCAAUCACACCCCAAAGAGUUGUUUAAGCUCAUCCAACCAAACACACCACUAAAACCUCGAAAGGCACAUCCAACCCUACACACCAUGUAUAUGGUCUAGGCCACUCAGAUAAUUAUACGCAACAAGGCUGGCGUAUAAGCAGUACAGUGCGGUAACCCACUGUACAAAUAAGUUGCAGUAAAACUGCCAGAUCAGAUCAGAAUCAGUCUUCCUUCUCUUCACAACCAACCCAAAUAUUUACUUUAUGCAAGCGCAUGUAUGCAUACAAUCUCAUAGAAAUAAUGAACACAUCGAUAGACAGUCAGAUAGAAACAAAUAUGCACACAGACACAACUAACCGGGUUUAGAAUCAGUCAUCUCACACCACAGUCACAAAUAACACAUAAGUCGAAGCCUAGAUCAGAGUCUUAACUACCCUCACUAAAGCCUAGCCAAGAGUCGGAACACACAGACACAUUUUUAGAUAAAAAAAUAUACACAAAACAAAAGUUGACGACUUAGGACCACACCACUUGUGUUCUAGCCGUGUGGAAGGCACAUAGCUAUAUGGAUGAGGCACACGCCCAUGUGGGCCAGUGACAUGGUUGUGUGAACAAGUCGUGUAACUCUUUGUCUGUUUGUGCUAAAAUGAAUGGUAGGGUAGACAUGGCCGUGUGAGGGUCUCACAUGUCCGUGUGCCCACCAAACACGACCGUGUGUCCAAAACACACGCCCGUAUGGGAUCUCUAAAUCCUCAAAUUAGCCACACGACCAUGUGGCACCAAAUCACUAAAUCCUUAAUUCCCAAACACACGCGUCUGUUUGCUCAAGGGACACAGUCGUGUGGCACCAAAAUUUUGCCCGAAACCUUAAAUUCCAAUUGCACACGAUCGUGUAAAUCGCCCGUGUGGGGGCAUACGCCCGUGUGGUCACGAAACCACUCAAAACUGGUAGAAAUCUCAGUUUUGUGACCUCAGAACAAACCACAGUCGUUAACCACUCUUUAAACAAUAGAAUCUUAUAGAAAUCCUCCAGAUUCAACAAAAAUUUCAUGUCGAAAAUAAGCAGUUCAGAACACACACACAAAAUGCCGAAUUUCAUAGCAAUUCAGUACCAAUUAUCCAAUUUAGUACCCACUUGAAAUUAUCAAAUACCACAAAAUUGAAUUAUCAAAUCAAAAAUAGAAGAUAAGAGGUUCGAAACCCACACCUUAAUUUGAGAUAAAAAAUCCCCCAACAAUCAAUGAACCACAAAGCCUUCACUUGCUACGAAUUUAUAUCUCUCGCAAGAACCCGAAACCAAAUCAAAACGACAAAACCACAAUGGAAAAAGAGAAAGUAUUUAGUAAGAAUAGAGGGAGAAAGGAGAAAAGAGGCACUUACCCACAAAUAUUAGGAAACCCCCAAAGAGAACAUGAAAAGAAACCUCAUGUUUUCUUUUUUUUUUCAUAUCACAAAAUAAAAACUUAAAAAAAUAAAAAUAAGCAAAAAAAAUAAAAAUAAAAAUAAAACCUAACCUUUUAAAACCAGAACAAAGCUAAAUCAAAAUAAUUCCCUUAAAACACACUUGAGGAUUCGAACCUGGGACCCCCAGGCUAAAUUAACACAAAACCAACCACCAUACCAGCAAGGCCAUUCUGACACUUGAAUGCGAAAACAAACUCAAAUGCCUGAUCUAGCCACAACCCUACCUACAAAUCUCGAAACUUCUAACCCCAAAACUAGGGUGUUACACGGAUGUGUGCCAGGCAGUGUGGUAGGUCAUGUGCGAGGCCGUCUGUGACACACGGUCUAGGCUAUUUUGGGCCAUGUGCUAGGCCGUGUGGGCCACACGGGCAAGGAUAUUUUGGGCGUAUGGGCCCAAAUUUCUAAAUUUUUCCCUAGGGUCGUACGUGUUGUCCCUAUCAAUUGUUGGCCUUUCGUGGGAUCAGCAUGUGUUAGAUAAGCCUUAAAGCACGAAAUUUUCUAUUCUGUUAGUAUGAAAUUGACGUAAACUACGCCUAAAAGCAUGUAAUGUGGUGCGAUAUGUUAGAUCUGUUAUGUAUUAGCGUGUUCAAUAUCUGUUAUAUGAGCAUGCAUGAUAUAUGUAUAUAUUAUGGUAUUUUUUAUUCUGAUAUAUUUGGUAUUCUAUUUGUAUUUGGCUAUGGGGCGGAUUAUGUAUCAUGUGGAGGAAAUGUUUUAUGUGAGGCAUUAACUCGCUAUUAUAUUGGUAGUAGUGCUAUGAUUUUUUCUGAAAAGUGUCGUAAGGACACUAAGUGGUGUAUAAGGUUGGGUGGGUGUUUUAUACCCUACAUGGUGUGAUGGGAUGGUCAGAGAUGGUAUGCAAUGGAUAAGGGUAGGAUUGUGUUUCGCAUGUAACUCUGAUUCUGCAUGAGACAUUUAUCUGUAUCUGCUCUGUUAUAUAUUCCAUUUGUGAUUCUAUUUCUAUUAAGUUACACACUGAGUAUAAAAACUCACUUUCUGUUUGUCUGUUACUUUCAGGUAACCUUAAAACUUAGGCGGAUCAGUGCGACAGAGACUCAGAUAUGGCCACUUUCCUGUAAAACUUCAUUUACAUAAAUUUGGUUGAUUUAAAAUUAUGUUUUGAGAGUUUCGUAAUUUUUGGACUCUCUAGACUUUUGGGACUGUUUUUGGUUUCGGAUUUUUAUUUUGAUUUUUAGCAUGUCAAUUGAUGGAACGAUUUUUAUGAAAACAACUAUUUUUUUCUGAAAUCAACUAUUUUAUAGAAAAUAAACCCUAUUUACCAAAUAAUAAUGUUUUAAGAAACUCUGCCGAAAAAUAUUCGGUUUAUUUGAAAGAUAUAAACAAACAAUGAUUUUAAUUAAAUAAGUACGACAACACACUUUCCCAACAAAACAGGCUUACUAAGUAACAAUGGUUCACGAUGAUUUCAAAAAGUGAAAGUUAGAUUUACAACUAUUUCACGUAACAUUUCCAGAUUUGGCCAUAAUGUCUAGACUGAGUUUUGGGGGGUUACAUCUUUUGGUUAAUAGUUUGCUUAGGUAAUGUGAUGACAUAUUGAACAUUAAGUGUAUAAAUGUAUAUACUCAUAUAGCUAAUUUAAACUAUGUUUUGGUAUGCUUAGUUAAACUUAAUGAUUUACAUAUGUUUGGCUUUAUAUUUUGGUAACUUAGGUAGUUAGGUCAUUAACUCAAUAUGGAAAUUUGGUAUGUAUGAGUGGUUGAAUGGUUUGUUGCCUUAUAUUAAUUUUUUUGAAUUGUAAAUUUUCAGUUCCACAGAAGGCAUAGUGGUUAGACACUUAGGUUGAGUGUUUUUAGCAUGUUUCAGGCUCAAUUAUAUGUGUUUUUAAUAGGUUUAAUUAAUGGUUAAUGUGUUUCUUGUAGCCCAAUUAAAUGUGUUUUGGUAAGCUUGCAUUUGAAGGUUCAAUUAGGGGCACAUAGCCUGAGACAUAGGCUAUCACAUGACUGUGUGUCUUAUUGAUUUUUACUAUAGGUUUUUCCACAUGACCUGGCGACACAACCUUGUAACCUUACUUCGAAUAUACACACGAUUUGGCAAACAACCAUGUGCCCUUAAUUCGAAUACUAACACAGGCGAACAUAUAGGCUGGGAAACGGCAGUGUGACCCUUGUUUUAAAAUUUUCUCAACUUUUUUAUUUUAAAUCAAAUUGAUCAUUGUUGUGUCAGGAGUUGCUUUUAAGCUUUCAUAUAAUCAGUAUUUACCUAAAAUUGAUUUAGCUAAUGUAUUUAUGCAUGCACAAAUGUGAUUAUGUAAUAAUUAAUUGUGAUGUGGAUUAUAAAUUGGUUGAAAUUGUGUGGUAAUUAUUCGUAGCACCGUAUUGUUUGGUCCGAUGAUGAAAUCGGGCGAGGGAUGUUACAAUUUUAGUCAGCAUUUUCAUUAAAAAUAUUUUUUGACACUUUUAGAAAAGGUCAAUGGACAAAUUUAACUUUAAAAAAGAUUAAUGGCCAAAUUGACAAAAGAUGUAAAUGAUAAAGGCUAAAGUAUCUUUAUGAUGUUUUAAAUAUGUGUCAAGCUUUGAUUCAUAAUUUUAUCUAUUAGUUCAAUUUUCAAUUUUACAAAAAAAAAUAUUAAUUUUUAAGAUUUAAAUAGUUCAUUCAUUCAUUCCUCAAAAAGAGGUGGCCAACAAGCAGUAUGUUACACUUAGAACCUUGAGAGAGCCCGAAAGUAGAGAAGAGCCUUUCAAGUGCCAAGAAUGACCAUCCCCAAACAAAAGCAAUGAAGGUAGACUUACAUGCAAAUAAAGAAAAAUAAAAUAAAAUAAAAUAAAAUAGGAAACAAAACAAAACAAAACAGAAAAAUGAAAAAAAUAGUUGCAAAGGGGCAAUGACAUUGCCUAAUCAUCGAUUGUCCUUAGUCGCAACAACCAACUAUCCUCUUAUAGAAGGAGAUUUCCACGAUGAGACAAUAAUGAAAUUAGGCUGUCCUCGACAAAAACCCUACACCAAGAAAGAGAAAAUGAGCCAGCCAAGUCUCAUAAUAAAAGAGCCAGCUUAAGCCAUCUCAAAAUCAAACACUCAUCGUUUCCACCACUAAAUUUAUCCAAAUAAGCCACCGAAAUCACCAAACCAUCAUCGAGGAAUUAUCAUUUUUAAGAUGAGAAAAACAAGGGAAAAAAAGGAGAAGAGAUGGAAGGAGGACGAAGGAGGACGACCGGCCACCAAUGGUUAGUGGUUGGUUGUGUAACACCCCAUAUCCGACCCAAUUGUUGGGUCCAAACUAUGAGAUGCCACAUUCGUUACCGAAUCAACUACAAACUCAAUGCAAUUUAAUUCAAUAGUUCAUACCUAUUAAUAAGAUCAUAAUACGUUCAUAACUUGUUUUACAAUCAUAAUUGGGUUUUAUAUCUUUUGAUAACCCGAGGUCGAAUGAGAACUAAAAUAUAAAAUUUCAAAGUUUUUUGGUUGACGUCGCUACUUUGUUGGUUCCAAGUUAUGACGCCACUCACUAUCAAUUUCUUAUUGCAAAGUUAAGGAUUUGACAUUGCGACGUCACUCAUUGUUUUCAAACUUUCUAUAUGAUACCAAUUUACAACAACCUACACUAUGGUCAUUUUCCUAUUUCGACCAUUUAACAAAUAUAAACACUCAACAAAAUCCAAAUGCCAACAUUUAACCAUUCAACACAAUCUGUAUGUUUUCUAUUUGCAAUAAUAACAAGUAACCCUCCUUUAAUAGAGUUUUAAAACCAUACCAAAAAAUUUUAGGUACAAUGGUAAGGCACAUUAUGGUCUUAGGUAGUCAAUUUUAGUUCAAAUCUAGGAGACAACUCUAUUAGGAGGGACAACCAUAAACCUCGAAAAACUUAAACUCCAUAAAUUAAAAAAUAGACAUUAGUUCGAUGAACCCAACUACACCUUGCCCAAAGAUUAUCACAACAUUAGUGUUAUGGAUUAUUAGUAAUAAAUUAUUCAAAUGUAAUAGAAAGGUUCAUCAACGAAUUGUACUCAGGGUUUGAAUCCAUUAAUAAAUCAUUAGUAGAUUAAUUACAACUCAAUCAAUUUGAAAAUUAUUUUAGCUAUUAGUGAACUCUCUUAAGCAUUCUAAAUUAUUUUAUUGUAACACCCCAUACCUAGUUCUGUCACCAAACUCGAGCUAUAAGGUGCUACAAGCAAAUACAGAACAUUUGAUUACAUUUCAUAGUCCAAAUAUCAAUUUAAUAUCACUUUGUUCAUAUAGUAUCAAGUACAACAUGCAAUUCAAUCAAUUUUGGGUUUAUAUUGAGCUUACGAAAGCUUAAAACUUACCCGAUGUCAAUCAAGGAUCAAAUCGAAACAAGAACAAAAAGAUAAGAAAAUUUUACAAAUAGGGGUCAGACGACUGUGUCACCUGACCAUGUGAAAGGCUGAGGCCAUGUGGGUUAAAAGUGCAAAUACUCAAAAGAUGUCACACAUUGUGUCGUUGGGUCGUGUAAUAGACUGUGGCUGUGUGCACUAAAAUCACCUUAAAUGUGCAGAUCACACAGUCAUGCCACAUGCCUGUGUAUGGCACACGGUUGUGUGUCAGGUUGUGUAUCAGGUCAUGUCUACCUAUAGAUGUCUUCCAAAACAAGCUUUCUAACCCUAAAUAAUUUAUACCACAAGAAACAUUUUAUACCAAGUUUUAAGUACUAGUUCAAAAGCAUCAAUAUCAUACCAAAAAAUCACUUAUAACAAUCAACCUCAGUGCCUAACCAAUAUGCCACAUUUGACACCUCAAUCCAACAAUUCAAGUCCAAACAUAACAUUAUAUUCAAACAAAUCCACUAUGCCAUUCAAGGCACCUAAUAACAAUUAAUACAACAUACAUAAUUUGACCAUUUUAAGCACAUUAUAAUAAUGCUUCCAUUCAACCAUUCAAACAUGCACAAACAUUUCCAAAUUCAUUCAAACUUAGCAUACACAUACCAUUCAUUUGUUAGCAUGUUUAUAACAUAUUACCUUAUCAUCAUAUAAGCAUUAUAACAUACAUAUUUAUACCAUAAACAAGGAUUACCCAAUACCAAGAUCAUUACCAAUUUAUAAUUAUAUACAUAUUCACAUAACAUUCAAAAUGUUAAAUUCAUCCAACACAUAACAUAUUCAACCACAAAACUCUCCUAGGUACAUCCCAUGACCAAACCAAAAUUAUUACCAACUCUUGAGUCUGAUAUUGCCACUGGAUGCUGAAGUAGAUGUAUAGGAUCAUGUACUUAAUCUAACCUGUGCACAGAAACAACUGAACAUUGAGUAAUCCAUACAAUUACAUCACAAAUCAAUAUGAGAAAAAUUUAAGAGAACUUUCAAGGUUUUAUUAAAACAUAACAUUAUACCAAAUUUAUUAAUUAUAUCGUAAUGACUUACCAUACCCCAAUUUCAUACUAGUCUUUUGAAGUGAAGAAUUUACUCUUGAUGUUCAUUGAUACGACUGGCACCUAGUGACUCAUCAGACAAAUCAAAGUAAUCCAAUUGCGCCCAACGCUUAUCAAUUUAAUUGGCACCCAAUGCCUCAUUGGGUAAGCCAAAGCAUUACUUGUACAUUCACAGAGUAACAAAAUUUUCCAUAGAAUUUUCAAUUAUAUCCCAACAACCAAAAUUCAUAACUCAAUUCAACAAGUCAUCUCAUAACAUAACAUUUUUCAAUCCAAUACAAGGUCAAUUAAAUACUUGCAUCAAAUACACUUUUUUCAUCCUAUACAGUUUAGUCCUUCAUCAUGAGAAUCAACAUUUCACAACAACUUGAUUUCAUCAAUUAUUUUAACUUACUUUUACCUUUGAUCAUACUAAGCAAUGAAAGUACUUAGAAAUUUGAAUGAAUUAAUUUAUGAAGUUACAUAUACAUUUAACUAUGUAAUAUCAUUAUAUACAUAUCUAUUUCAUAAUCAAGUUCAAUAUCCACUAAUUUCCAUUCAAUUUCACAAUAAUUACUUUAUACCAUUUAUCAAUUGCUCCCGAGUCAAUGUAUAUUUCACAUAUAGAUAUUUCAUAUUUUUCGAUUUAAUCCUCUUGAUGCCAAAAAUAUUAUAUAAUAACAAUUCAACUAUAAAAAAAAUAUAUAACACAAAUAUAUCAUCAAUUAAUAAAGUAAGUUUCAUAUGAACUUACUUGGAAAAUGGUAACUACAAAGUGUUAGGGAUUAAUUUAUAAUUUCACUUAUUUUUUGAUUAACUUCUAAUUUAUUGAUAAAUUCAACAACCUUAUAACAAUUUAGUAUAUGCAUAUAAAAAUUUAAUUUCAUUUUAUACAAUUUCCCUAAAGUUUUGCUUUUUAUUCAAUUUAGUCUUUAAAAUCAAAACUAUUAUAUCUUUUAAAAUCAAGCUUUGAUUUUCAAUCCCAUUACAAUUUCAUCACUGUAAUGCCCUCUAGAAACAUGAUUUUCAAAAAUUUCAUGAAAAAUUUUACAUUAUUUCAAUUUUGUCCCUUAACAAAUCAGUCCUAUUUCAUUUCUAAGCUUCAAAAUCUACCAUAAACAUUCAAAAACUUCAAUUAACAUCAAUGUAAAAUUUAGAAAUCUUUAAUAAUUUUGAAAAUGGAGAUAUGGGUUAGCUGAACCUAGUUACAAUGAUAUCAAAAAUAUAAAAAAUAUAAAAAAGGGACUUACUUACAAAGAACCAAAGCUUGGCCGAUUCUUUUCUUGCUUAAAUGGUGUUUUUCUGUAAAAAAAUGAUGAAUUGAGGAAGAUGAUGGCUAUUGUUUCUUUUGUUUAUAUUUAACUUUUAUUUAUUUAUUAAAUUACCUUGUAAUUUAACAUACAAUUUCAUUAAUAAGCUAGCCUUUACUAUCCACUAGUUAUAUGUAGGGUUAAAUUGUUUCAUUAAUCCUUAAACAUUCAUUAAUCAAGCACUUUAGCUAAUAAAAAUCAAUACCGAUUAGCUUUUAUAGUUUUUACGAUUUAACCCUUUUUCCUUAAUUAACUAUCCAAACAGUAAAAUUUUCGCACCAAAUUUCAAUUUAGCUAUAUAAAAACUCGAUAAAUAUUUAAUAAAAAUAUUUACUAGCUCGGUUUAUGAAAACGAAGCCCCGAUACCUUAUGUUCCAAAUAACUGACUUUUAAUAUAAACCACUCGUACCUUGACUAACUGACCAAUUAAUAAAAUCUAUAAAAUUAGAAUUUACAAUAACACAAUUAAUGUCUAUCUUGUAAUUAAAAUGAAAAUGUGUUUGGUCUUUUAAUUACAAGGAAUUUCAAUUUACAUAGUAUAACUACUAGGGUAGUAAUAACACCCUCUUGUAAUUACAAUGAAAAUAUGUUUGGUUGGCAUAGUAUAAUUACAUUGUAAUUUUCCAUGUUGUGUUUGGUACUACAAAUUGUAAUUAUACAAUUACGUGAUUUAUUUAUUUUUAAAUAUUAAUUAUUAUAAAAAUAAUCAAUAAACUUGAGAAAAAAAUAUAAACAAGUAAGAAAAUUAAAAUCAAAUUCAUCAUAUAUAAUAUACUAGUCCAAAAAAGUAGUCGAUAAUAUAAUAACAAAUAAAAAUAACAAGAAAAUAAAUACCAUAUGCAAUUUAUCUAAUUGUUUCAACAUUCCAUAUUUGUUGUGUUAUUUCAUCUCUAACAUUUAACAUAUACUCAUUAAUUUGUUGACCCUAAACCAUUUUUUUCCUUAAUUUGAAUAUGAAUCAUUAAAAUUACAAGGAUAUUAUUUUUCUAUGUACUCUUCAAAGCAUAGAUAAUCUUAAUCCCAUUUACGAAUGAAGUUAUGAAGCAUGCAAUAUGCUAGCAUGAUCCAACCUUAUUCCUUUAGACUGUAUUGAGGUGGUGGUGUUAAUAUGAGAAUUUCUUUUAUAAGAACAAAUGACCACACAAACAUAUUUUGAAAAUUCGAAUAUCUCAAAUGGUGUCAUACCUAAUGAUAUGGCGCAAAAGAACUUUUUGUAUUUACAUAUCCAACUUUGUGAAUUAUCGAAUAUGAUAUUUAAUUUAUUUUGGGAUCUCAUCCAAACAACAUUCAUUAGCACUCUAGAAUCCGAAAUCCAAACCAUUAUUUUAACAUUCCAUCAUAACAUCUUUUAUAAACCUAAUUUUUUAUGCUAUAGGGUUAAAUAGCAAAUAAAAUUUCUAACUUUUUUAAUAAUAAUAUUUUAUGUAAAUCAGGUAAAAAAUAAUAUAAAAUUUAUAAUAUAAUCUCUAUAAAAAAAGUUUGAUAUAGUAUUCAAUAGCUUUCGUAACACUAGGGUGGUUAAAUAUGUACCAGUAUAAGAAUAAUAAUGAAUUUAUUAUAUAACUUUUAUAAACUUAAUUUCCUAUUAUGUCAAAAUCUGUGUAAAAAUUUUGGACUUAUCUGUUCAAUAGCAAAUAUUUUUUAUCAAAUAAAAAAUAUAUAAUUAUAUUUUAAAAAUAAAAAAUAUAUCUUAAAAUUAAAUUAUGUUAUUAUAUAAAAAUAAUUAAAAAAUAAAUUCUUAAACUUAAAUAAUGUAUGUGUGUUUGGAAAGCAAUAGUUGGUAAUUGCUUGUAAUUACUUGCGCAAUUAUCCCAAUUCUUAGUCUUCCUCUAUGAUUUGGAUAGUAUAUUUAAGGUAGUUUAGUUGCAUUCAAUUUUGUGAGAUCCACUAAUUACAAUCAAAUCUAAUUUACUAGAUGAUUUUUUAAACACUACCUUCUUAAAAUUUUAUAUAUAGACAUUCUAACAUUUUUGUAAUGUUUACAUUAUAAUAUUAUAUAUUACCGGAGGUUUAUUUUUUUAUAUUAUAAAGUAUAUAAUAUAUAAAUAUCACAUAAUAUAAAAUAUUAAAAAAAUAAAAAAUGAGUUUGGCUGAGUUUGGGCCUUAAAUGUUCAAGCUCAACUCAUAUUUUAAACAGAUUUUUUUUUCUCAAGCCCAUUUUUGAAUAUAAUAUUUUUACUUAAGUCCUCCUAAAUUUUGAUUAAAUUUGAGAUAACCCGGCUUAUAAACAAGUCCAACUACAUCCAAAUAAAAAAAAUAAAAGAGAAAAUAAAUACAAAUAAAAAAAUUAGCAAGAUCAGUGUUGCUCAUAUUUUGAUUCACCAUGUUGGAACAUAUUAUACAACACUUUGAGAGUAGCAUUUGUUUUGUUUUAAUAUGCUAUACUAAUAGAUAAAUGUAGUAAAGUUUCUAGAUAUUACGGUGGGGGUGUAUUACAGUUUUCUUCCAAAAUAAAAUCUCUUAUUGAGUCUAUCUCUAGUUUCUGAAAGUAGACAAAAUGAUUGAGAAGAUAGAAGCUGUUGUAUUCAUCCAAAACACUAAAGAAAAGAUAGAGAUUGGAGGUUUGGUCUCCUGCACUAAUAUGAUUUUUAUAAAAUAGAAAAGAAAAACCAAACAACAUGGAUAGAAUUGCCAAGUUGUCUAUUAUUCACAAGGAAAAUACAGAUAUUAAAAAUGGGAAAUGGAGGUAGAAAUAUAGAUAGGACUAUCUUGGUUGUGUCCUCGGGAAUCCCAAAAUUUCCGAAAUCUUGCGAUCAAGUUGUUUUGUUUUUAUAUCGUCAGCAAUCGGCUAAGGACAGGCAAAUGAGCGUUGUAAAAGAGUUUCGGUUCCACUGAAAAAUAUAAAAAUUAAUAAUGAAUUAGACUGUUUGUGAAUGUUCUUUUGUAAUGAAAUUCAUAUAUAAACAGGUUUUGGGAGAUGGAAGAUAAGAAAAAGGGAUUGAAACAGAAAACCAGAAAUCAGUUAUGGAGGAGAAAAAGACAAAAUAACUAAUGACAUAACUGGAAAUGAAACAAGACAAUAGCAUUAUGUUACGUGCCUGUAAAUGCAGCUCCCAUGGGACACUUUCUCAAGAUAACAUGCAAACAAAAUAAUGUAUUUCUCCGGAGAGUGAAAUCUUAUUUUUACUUUUACUGGGGAGGUGAUAACUCAUGCCCAUUUUGUCAUUAUAAAUUGAGAGACUUGGAAGAGAAAGAAAGCAUUGCAUUUGCAUGAACUUGUUUUAGCAGUAUAGUAGUUGUUUAUUUUUAUAUAUACAAAAACCAAAAGUUCUAUCCAUGGCUGCAUCUUUCUCAGUGCCUUCAAUGGUAAGCUUCAUUUCCCUGCAUUCCUUUCCUUUAUCACCAAAUUAUAUUUACUUGGCCCUCUUUUUCUUUGCAUUUUAAGUGCUUCACUUUUGGCUUCCCACGUACCCAUAAAGAAACUUAACGUUGAGUAUACUACUAGCACUCACCCCCAGUCGGGUUAACAUUUUGAAAUUAGUGCUUAUAAGUUAGUGGCUCCCAAAACCCAACACAAGAUUCGUCUUUCUUACAUCAACAAACAGGCAAAUCUCGUUUAAGCAUAUCGGAAAUAUAGAGCAGAAACCAUGAAUUGCAGUGGUUAGGAUGAUCUUCAGAACCAAGAAAGCCUCCUAACAAACAAGAGUUCCAUUUUGUGUUUGUUUCCAUAGGAAUCCUUUGUUUCUUUCUAAACAUAUGAAGCAACCAUCAUGGACUAUUCUUUUGUUUUUAUUCUCUUAAAGGUCUCGUUCGGUGAGGGGAUUUAGUAACACCCUGCGUAAUUGUUCAGUUGAGUCUAAAAUAUAAUUUUAAAAUUUUCUUCAAAUAACAUCAAUUUAAUCAAUAAAAUUAUUAAAUUAAUUUUAUAUAUUUUAAAGAAGAUAUAUCGUUACAAUAAUACUUUUGUCUUUUUCUUAUUUUAUUUUAAUACUAUGCUUCAAACUACUCAUAACCUCUCCAACUCUUAAAUAGGAUGACAGUUGUGUCUCGCAGUUUAAAUUAAAUUAAUCCUCCUGUAUUAGCAAUAAGCUGAUGUUUAUUAAGUGAUACCAACUCAGUUGAGAAAAUUACAAAAAAUAACCUUACAUAUUUUGAAUAAGCUAUAUUAUUAGAUGGUGUUUUUUUUCUUUUUUCUUUUUAAUAAAACCAAUAAAAAAUUUGCAAAUAUUGAAAUUUUAGCCCAUGCCAUAUAUUUCAUUAUUUAUUAAAUGUUAUUUUUAAACGCCCACUUCUGUUUUAAACACGUAGUUUCUACAUGUAUACGUGUGUAUGUGGGGGUAGAAUCAUUAGUAUUAUUCAAAGAGUUGAUUGAGUUAGUGUUAUCCAUCAACUACAUCUCAAUUCGAUUAUAGAAUUACCAAAAACCCAUUCCUUUUAUUAAAAAAUCAAAAAUUACUAUGAGACUAUUUUUGUCAUCUUAUAUUUUAUGUCAAAUAUAAAAAAAUUCAUAUCAUGAUAUUUGAUCAUAAAACACCAUGACAUUUAAUAUUUUAACUUUAUCAUUCUCAUGAUAAAUUUUCUUUUUUACCAUUUCAAGUAAAGUCUAUUAUUCUUAUUAGGUUAACUUUCACUAUUUAUAAUUGUUCCUUCCAGUAAUAUCAUUUUUAAGAUUUAAAUUUGGAUUCCCACUUUGAAAGUGUAAUGCUAUGCACCCAAAUUCUUUUAUUAUAAUAAUUAAAAAAAAAUUCACUUAUAUAUAUUAGUUAUAGUAUUAUAUUUAUAUAAAAUUUCUAUGAUACAAAUUUAAAAAAAAUAAAAGAAAGUAAAAAAUAUAACCCAAGCCCCACUUCUUUUUUUUUCUGUCUAAUGUAAGUAUUCAAACACCCUCAAAUAUCAGCAGGCAGAGCUUCGAACAUAGACUAGUAACUUGUUUGUUUAGGUCUAUUUCAUGACGUUAUUUUCGAGUAAAUUGCUUCAAAUCGUAUCCUGCCGCAUUCUUAGAGGUGUAAGAUCAUAACAAUGUUUUUAAUGAGCGAAAAUGCCACUGGCAGAUAAUGGAGGAAGAAGGGAGGUACGAAGCUGAAGUAACAGAGGUGCAAGCAUGGUGGAACUCAGAGAGGUUCAAGCUAACCCGACGACCGUAUUCAGCUCGAGAUGUCGUGGCUUUACGGGGCAACCUCAAACAGAGCUAUGGCUCAAAUGAGAUGGCAAAGAAGCUAUGGAGAACCCUCAAGGCACAUCAAGCAAAUGGCACUGCUUCAAGGACUUUUGGUGCACUUGAUCCAGUCCAAGUAACCAUGAUGGCCAAGCAUUUAGAUUCAAUUUAUGUCUCUGGUUGGCAAUGUUCCUCAACUCACACCACCACCAACGAGCCAGGUCCGGACCUUGCCGACUAUCCUUACGACACCGUCCCCAACAAAGUUGAACACCUUUUCUUUGCACAACAAUACCAUGACCGAAAACAAAGAGAGGCAAGAAUGAGCAUGAGCCGCGAGGAGAGGGCUCGAUCUCCUUAUGUUGAUUAUCUGAAGCCAAUUAUAGCAGAUGGUGAUACUGGCUUUGGUGGCACCACUGCAACUGUUAAGCUUUGCAAGCUUUUCGUUGAACGUGGUGCUGCAGGCGUCCACAUCGAGGAUCAGUCAUCGGUAACCAAAAAAUGUGGUCACAUGGCUGGUAAAGUACUUGUUGCUGUUAGUGAACACAUUAAUAGGCUUGUCGCUGCGAGGCUGCAAUUUGAUGUUAUGGGAGUGGAGACAGUGUUGGUGGCUAGAACUGAUGCUGUUGCAGCUAAUAUGAUCCAAACCAAUGUUGACACCAGAGAUCAUCAGUUUAUUCUUGGAGUGACUAAUCCGAAUCUUCAGGGAAAAGGUCUGGCAUCCAUGUUAGCUGAAGCAAUGGCUGCUGGUAAAACUGGGGCUGAACUCCAGGCCAUUGAAGACAAAUGGUUAGCCAUGGCACAACUUAAGACAUUCUCCAAAUGUGUUAUCGAUGCUAUCAACAACAUGAACAUCAGGGAGGAUGAGAAAAGGAGGAGAAUGAAUGAAUGGAUGAAUCAUUCUAGUUAUGAUAAGUGUCUCUCAAAUGAACAAGCCAGAGAAAUUGCUGAGAGAUUGGGGCUCAAAAAUCUUUUCUGGGACUGGGAUUUACCUAGAACCAGAGAAGGUUUCUAUAGGUUUAAGGGUUCAGUAAUGGCUGCAAUCGUUCGUGGCCGGGCUUUUGCUCCACAUGUUGAUCUUAUUUGGAUGGAGACAUCCAGCCCUGAUCUGGUUGAGUGCACCGAAUUUGCUCAAGGGGUGAAAUCAGUGCACCCUGAAGUCAUGUUGGCUUACAAUCUUUCACCAUCUUUCAAUUGGGAUGCAUCGGGAAUGAGUGAUGAACAGAUGAGAGACUUCAUCCCAAGGAUAGCCAAGCUUGGUUUCUGUUGGCAGUUCAUAACACUAGCUGGUUUCCAUGCUGAUGCACUCGUGACCGACACAUUCGCCAGAGAUUUCGCGAGGAGGGGAAUGCUAGCUUAUGUUGAGAAGAUCCAGAGGGAAGAGAGGAACAAUGGGGUGGACACAUUAGCCCAUCAAAAAUGGUCAGGUGCCAACUUUUAUGAUAGAUAUCUCAAGACAGUCCAGGGAGGCAUAUCAUCGACUGCAGCCAUGGGCAAAGGCAAGUCAUAAAGAAAUUAACUCUCCAUUCCUUUUUCCAGGUGAUUACACUUCAAAUUCAGAAAAAUAAAGAAAAAAGAGUAUUGAUACAUGACUUUUGUGCAGGAGUGACAGAGGAGCAAUUCAAGGAAACAUGGACAAGGCCAGGAGCCAUGGAGGUUGCAAAUGAAGGCAAUAUGGUGGUUGCUAAGGCAAGGAUGUAGGAUGAAGCUAAGCUGAUUGGAAAUUGGAUCAUUCUAUUGGAGCAUCACCCAAUUCUAGUGUUUCUUUUUUUUUUUCCUUCUUUUUUAGAUCUCUUUUGCUUAUGUUAAAAGAUGAAACUGGUUUCUGUAAUAGUUUUAAAAUGGCAAUGAGAAAAUGCUUUGGUUUUUUUAAUCUCAUUGAUAAGAUUGGAUUGGAUUGGAUUAUUGUUGUUCUGAAGAUUAUAUAACUCCACUCCUCAGCCACCCACCCGUGGCUUGUUGCAUUUGGAACCAUCUCUAUAUAAAAAAUUAGAAUUCGGGUGCCUUUAAAUUUAAAAUAACCUUUGAGGGUGAUACGUUUUGGACACUUUAUUCUCCAAACGUUACUCCACAAUUUCCUUGGAUUGCAAGUUUCGGUUAGACGGUUCUCUGUUUUCUUGCUUCUGCUGUUUACCUUUUUGCCUUUGCUAUUAAAGCGUCGGAUUAAAACUAUUUAUAUGGCUGAUAUAGUGAUAUGUUUGUUUUCUGCCUUGGAAUGAUGUGGUGGAGUGUAGUUUCUUGGUUUUUUUGAGAUGAAAAAGAGGGAAAGCUCCUCCAUUAUGUGAAUGAUUCAUAAAUCUAUUGCUUGGGGUUUUUAAGUUGCUUCGCUUGCUAGGGUACUUAACUACUAUGGCAUCGCUUUUAAGUGAAUAUUAAAUUCUAGGUUAGACAUAUCCUCUAGGAAUGGCAGGACUCAAAUCCACAAUUAAAAUCAUCUUAGGAUGUUUAUGGAAGAAAGAUAAACCUUUAAUUAGGUGGUUGGGGGAGAAAAAUAUAGGAGGUUACCUUCAAAUGCAUCCAUCAUUCCUUAAGUCCCUUAGGUUUGAACAUAUAGAAUUUGAUCCAUCUUCUCAUUGACUGAGGGUAUGAAGUAUAUCAGAUUGGUUUUUCCAUCAAAAGCACUAUGGAAUUAGUCUAUGGAGGAAGAAAAAUGUUGGCUGAGAAUUAGUAUGUGGAGGUGUUUAUUCCAGCUGCAACUGCAGAUAUCCCUUACUGAAACGGGAUAUUUUAGCAACGGGAUUGCAUGGAGUUGGUUUUUCGAUUAACAGCAUUGCCUAUGGUAACUUGGGACUCUAUAAACCAGUAUAUCUAGGCAAUGGGAUUAUUUUGACUAGACUAUUGUUCAAGCUGUUUGUAUCUCAGUCCAAACAGUUGCAUUAUAGAAUGCAAAGAGUGUAUGCACUACUACAAUGCAGUACUCAUAUGCAUUGACUUCAUUUAAUUCCUUUUUUUUAAGUUGUAAGUACUAGUAAGGUAACAAAGUCAGCCUUGUAGAUCAUAGGGUUAAAUGAAAUCAGUGGAUGCACUUGUUAAAGAUUCUAUAUACUCCUUUGUUCAGACACCACAUUCCUCUUUGAUUGCUGCCCUAUUCCUUCAAGCCUUAAUCUGCAGGUUGCAACACAUCAACUUGCUCGCUCAACUCCUACCUUGUAUCCUUUUAGAUAACAUUAGAUAGCUAUGCACAUGAGGUGUCUUCUUUUGCCUUUGAGCAGGCAUGCAUCAAAUCUAUCAUAGAUACGUAGUUCCUAAAGCAAGCAUUCUAAUAGCAAGGUAUUGAGUGAUUCGAACUAUAUUGCAACUAAUAUGAUCUCUAGCAAACUAAGAUUUUGUUAAUGUUACCUGAAACCAAUAGUUAAAGGGUUCUUUCAUUUUUCUUUUCAUAAGAGUGUUUGGAACAGAAAAAGAAAAAAAAAAAAAGACCUCUAGUACAUCUGCUUUAACUAGUAUAGCUACGCGGGUAGCUUUAACAAGGACUGAGGGAGGAGAUUGUUAGCUACCAUAGAUAACAGUAAUGUCAAAAGUGGAGGUAAAUCAUUUCGCGUAACAUUAUAGUAUUUCUAAGUGGUUUUUGAAAUUCAUCACGUACGCCAAAAUAAAAUAAAAAGGAAGGAAAUGGAUGGAGUUAUAGGAGUCUAGUUUCCCCUGUUCAUUUCUUCCAUGGCUUCAAAAUAGAAAGCACAAUGAUGAGUGCAAUAAUGAGGAGUAAGAUAAUGGAGAUCAUCAUGCAUUUUCUUGACUUUUUCUGCAAGCGCUUUGCAGUUUGAAGAGCUUCUGUUCCUGAUUGUAAAUGGUCUACUGCAUUAUUAACCUAUCAGCAUACAAAACACACAAUUUUAUAUAAAUAUAGGAGCAAAAUUAUUAGGGGAUGACUUAUUGAUAUGUCAAAUUUUAUAUAAAUGUAGGAACAACUCUUGGAAGAUGUGAGAACAGGAGCAAACCUGACUUUCAAUGUUGUCUAAAAUUUCUCCUUGAGCUCCAACAACAACUGCCAUAUCGAGGUAAAUCUGACAAAAUUAACAGUCCAAUUAGAAUAGGUAACUUAGCUUGGCCGGUCUAUCGUACAUACUAAGGGUUCUGUGUAGACUUCAGAUUUUCACCUGCUGUAAAUCGAGAAGCUUUUUCUCAAUCUCAGUCACCGCAUCAUGCCGUUCUUGGAUUUCCUCCACCGUAUUUAGUAUCUGAAACCGAACCACAUAACAAAGUUGUUCUCAACCAAAAACUGGUAAAACAUGUUCCAUUCCGAACAGAUUUCAAUGCAAUUAUAGUUCCAUUGCGCGAUGAAUUCAAAAGAUGAUAAUGGCAUAACCUGUCCUCGUCCCUGUUCUUGAAUUGCCUUCUGGAAAAUUUGCUCACUGUUUCCGGUUUCAAUGAGGCGGUCAAUUGUCUAAGAUAAGAUCACAAUUUUUUGACACUUUAAAACAACAUUCAUAUAGAUUAGACCCAAAGUUCCAACAUUGAACUUAAGCUCACCUUCUCGUCCGGUCUGGUUCCGGUAACUAUUCAAACAGCAAUGAAGAAAAGCAUUUUAAGUAUGAACAAUAAUAAUAAUAAGAAUAAUCAGAUUGCUUCAUAGUUCUUGCAAGCAGCAAGCGCGGUAUUCUAACCUGUAGUGACCCUUCUUUCCACAACCUCUCGAUACUCGUCCUGGAUCUUUUGCCUGAGUGUCUGAAACAGAAUAGGGAGAUGAGAAAAACAGAUAGUAUCUUAAAAGAUGCUAACAAAGAGGUGCAGAAAUACCUGGAACUCUAUCAUCAAAUCCUUGAAAUUUGUUGCCAUGGCACUGCAAUCGGAGACAAAAUCAUAAUGACAAAAAAGUAACGGAUCAACUCAUUUUGGUUCAAAAUAAAUGGAAAGACCCAAACUAAGUGUUUGCAACAAACUUUGUAACAUUGGUCCUGGAUCUGUCAACGCUUGUUCCCUUCUCGCAUCCUGGUUCCUGCCGAUUGGCCAAGUUCUGGAUAUAAAAGCGAGCAAAAUCAGCAAAUAGGCUUCAGUUAUAUAACUAUAAAGCCUGGAAAUUAAGAUAUUUGAAGAGAAAUUUUACAUCUUUGUUGAUUGCUUGUAAUCUUGCUUUCACAUUACGUGCUAUUUUUCCAACCUCGUCAAUAUCUUUCUCCAUUCGCUUCUUGAUAGCUUCAAUAAAUCACAUCACAUCUCAACAAUAUGAAACUUUAUUAAACAUGACAAGCUUUUCCCAUAUUACAACUUCAUAUCUAUUUUUUCUCAAGUAACUCAGACACUAAUAGAGUACACUAACAAAGCUUUCUACCUUUCAUAGCUGAUGCCUUUGUUACCGAUUUUGACUCCUCAUUAGUAUCCUGUAAAAAGUUCACAUUAGUAGAGUUGAGUUGAUUCGGUUCAGUCAGUUUUCGUUUUGUUUGAAUUGUUCAAAUCGGUGAAAUCAUCUCAUACAUACAUACCUUGAGUUUCCUGAGUAACCCAGAGAGCUUUUCCACCUGUUUCUCAACUUCUUGUACCUAUAUUACGAAGAAUAGGGGCAUGAAGUAAUCAGAUGAACUUCACUUAAGAACAAAAUAAAAUGCUAAAAAAAAUGAUAACAACGAGCAGUACAAUCAGUGAGAAGAAGUUUCAGAAGUCUUCCUAUAUUGGCAGAUUUUCACUUUUCAACUCAUUGGGAAAAAAGUUUCGGAAAUUUGACAAUAUUAGCAAAUAGUCAAUUAAGCAUCAAAGUCAAAUAACAUAGAGCUAAUUUGGUUCGCUAUUUUGAGCAUAUGGCAGACCUGCUUAUUGAAAGCUUCCAUUCCCAUGUCGGAGUUGCUUCCAGGUCCGGGAACCUGUCUUCCCAUUUCGAUAUCGCCGUGGCCUUUGGCAUCGCCCACAAAUGAAUCCUAGUUCAGGACAUAAUGAGAUCGUUCAGUUCUAAAACAAAGUGUAAUGGAGCUAUCGCAACUAAAUUGUCAAAAUGAAAAAGAAACUGAUAGAACAAAGCAAACUAAACUAGGAUAUGACCCUCAAAUCAAUUCAGUACAUGUCAAUAUCGGAACUUGCUUCAUAUGCUGAAAAUUAAGACAUUCUAAACCUAUGUAUGAUACAAACAUUGGUUCCAAUGAAUCAACCGAACAAACAAACAAAAGAAGAAAAAAAACAAUUCCUAGUGAAUUCUCAGUAACCAAACAAAGAGAGGAAAAUCAUUAAUAAGAAAAUAAAGCAACAUAAUUAAAAAAGAAAAAAAAAAGUGAAACUUUCAUAGACAAAGCCAGGAUGAUACUCCUCGCCACAAGUAAACACUAACUGGGAUCCAAAAUAAGCCCAGAAACAUGCAUCCAAUUUUCAGCAUUAAAUUGCAGAAAGAAAAAGAAACACUUGAUUGAUCAAAGCAAAAGAAGGAUUUGAUGAUCUUAAACUUAGAAAACAACGGAUGAAAAAAGAGCAAAGUGAUUGAAAGUUACCGUAAGCAAGUCGUUCAUGCUGACAAAUAACAAAGAGACGAUGCUUUUAAUGAAGGUUGAGAGGAAAAAGAAAAAGGCAAAAAAGCAAAACAAUUUUUUUGUUAUGAAAGAGAUGCUUUUAUUUAUUUGUAUUUCAGCCGGCUGUUAUAGCUCAGUCGGGAAAUUAAUUUAAGAAUUUCAACGUUAAACACGACAAAUUCCAUAGCGCUUAUGAUUUUCUUUGUAUGACCAAGCAACAAUGUUUGGUUUGGUUCGACCAUCUUUGUUUACCUGUUUAUUGAGCUUUCCGCUUGGCCCGUUUAGGAAUUAAAUUAUAACUUUAAAACAUAUAUUACUCGACUUUGCCAUUGUAGCUUCUGUAUUUAGCUGCCAAGCUUGAAGUCACACCUAUAUUCAGCUAUUUGUUGGAGGAUAUUCCAUUAAACUAUUCAUUUUCACGAUGGUUUAAGCAAACCUAUUAGUUGUUUCUAUUUUGUUCUCUCAAGUUAUAGUAAUUAAUAUUAUGAAAAUUUAAUAUUUUGUUCACCCAUCUAUUAAAUAUUAACAUAAUAUUGACUUGUAUUUUUUGGUAUAACAACAAAUUUAGCUCUCGAAUGUUUAUAGAUUUUAUCAAUUUAGUCCUAAUUCUUAAAAAUUUAAAAUUUAAAACUAAAUGAUAAGUGCUAAAAGUAACAUGUUUUAAUCACGUUCUUAAUACGUUUUUGGAUGAUUAUUCGAUUUAAAAAGAUGAAACUUAUGCUUCUAAUCUUUAAAUUCAUGUUUUUAUACUUAAGAGAGCAUUUGGAAGCAAAAUGAGUGAAAAACGAGCAAAAAUCGAAAAAUCAGAGCAAGUUUCAGGAGUCACACGGAUUGAACACACGACCAUGUGUCACACUGUGAUGAUUUCGCAAAUCAUGCUCCAAGUAGCUGAAAAACGUGAUUUUUAGGUUUUUUUUUCUAGCAUUCUAAGGCUCAUAUAUGAAAAAGAUAAGAAGAGAGGAGUAAGUCAUCAUAGAAUACUAAUACACCAUAGUAUAUACAUAUUUUUACCCCAUGCUUGACAUAUUUAUGGAUGAUUUUUCCUUGGUUUCAUUGAAUUCGAUGCUCCUAAUCCUUUAAAUUCAUGUUUCAUACUUGGGUGAGCAUAGGAAGGCAAAAAGAGCAAGAAAUGGGCCAAAAACGGACAAAUUGGGCCUAAUUCAGUGUUUCACAUGGCCUACGUAUUUUCAGAAGGGUAAACCACACGCCCGUGUGUCAUGGCCGUGUCCACAUUAAACCAAGUCAGAAUUGCACACGGCCUGAACACCUUUACACGGGCGUGUCACACGGCCGUGUCCCUGUCAAGCCCACGUCUAAUUCUACUUAGAAAAGGCUAAUUUUGAAAGUUUUGAAGCAUUCCAAAGUCUAUAUAAACACCCUAAAAGAGGAUUAAAAAGGACACGCAGAGUAGAAGGCAGAAAAUACUCAAGGAUAGCCAUCAGAAUUAGCUUGGAAGCAGGAUCUACUUCAAGACUGAAGAUCUUCAUUCAAUUUCCUUAGAAGUUCUUUGAGUUCUUUAUGUUUUUGUUGUUUUCCCAAUUUUGAGAUGUUUUCCUCUAUUGUUAUGAACUAAACUCCCUAAAUACCUAAGGGAGAUGAAACCUAAGACGAAUAUUACUAUUUGAAUUAUAUGAUAAAUACUUGUUCUUAUUCUUAAUUGUGAGUUCUAAUUCUUGCUUUAAUAUUCCAGGAUAUUAAUUCAGGUUUUUGAUGUGCUUAUUCAGUGGAGCAAAAGUCCCUAUUUAAGAGUAGAUCAUUCAUAAUUAAGAGGAGUUGCAUGCAAUCCUAGAGAUAGGACGACAUAAAUCUGUCGGAUUAGAGUCAAAUCUAAUAAGGGAAUCUAUAGAUCGAGUUAAUGCGACAAUAGGGGUUUUAAUUAGAAAGAGAUUUCAAUUAAUCAACCUAGAGUCAGUUGUUUUUAGUCUCGAAAGAGAUAAUAACAUAAACUAGGGAUUUCUACAGAUUAAGUCAAGUGAAUAAAUCAUCUGAUUCAAAAGUGAUAACUGAAGUCUAGGUGGAUUCUUCCUUGGAUAUUGUCUUCUCCAUCGGUUUUCCAAAGAAUAUUUUCCAACUUUAAUCUCUGUCGUAAUCUUAGUUAAUUAGAUAAUUAGUUUUAGUUAAAAAACAUCCUUUAAUUCUUAGGCUAGAUAAUAAAAAGAUAAUAAUUACUAGUACUUUUAGUCCUUGUGGAUAUGAUAUUUCUGGUCUCACCAUAACUAUACUACUAUUCGAUAGGUGCGCUUGCCUUAGUCAAAUUUUUAGUUAGUUUUACGACCAUCAAGUUUUCGGCGCUGUUGCCGGGGACUAAGAUAUUAGGAACACUUAACUUUUAUUACUUUAGCCAUUUUUAUUUUUAUUGCAAUUUAAUUUUGUUUUGUUUUGAUUUUAAUUACUAAAUUUUCUUUUACCUUCUCCUGGCAGGUUUUUGAUAGUUUAUGACUAGAAGAAACCUAUCAGGACCUUUGCUUUUUGACAAUGAGAUCGAGAGUACAACUCGCAGAAACCGAAGAGAAAUAAGGCGAAGUCUACAAUACAUAGAGGAAGAGUGAGAGGAAGAUAUCCAUACUACAACUGAGGAGAUGGCUAAUAAUCAGAGUAAUCUUCUACCUCCUGUGGUUGAUACAAAUCUAGUAAAUCAAAAUCCUGCUCCUCGUACUAUGUAUGAUUAUGCUAAACCUACUUUAACAGGAACUGAAUCGAGUAUAGUUAGACCUGCUGUUGCAGCAAAUAAAUUUGAACUGAAACUUAACACUAUUCAAAUGAUACAACAGUUUGUUCAGUUUGAUGGUUUGCAGGACAAGGAUCCAAACACUCAUUUAGCAAAUUUUUUGGAAUUCUGCGACACAUUUAAAAUUAAUGGUGUUUCUGACAAUGUCAUUCACCUUCAGUUAUUCCUCUUUUCAUUUGUUCCCAAGUGGUGAUUGACCCUCACGGUAACGAGUUCAACCGCUGUUUAGAAACGGCUAAAUUGAGGAAUGAUAUCUAUUCUUUUGUGCAUAUGGAUUUAGAAACUCUUUAUGAUGCAUGAGAGAGAUACAAGGAUUUAUUGAGAAGGUGCCCUCACCAUGGGUUACCUCUAUGGCUCCAGGUUCAGACUUUUUACAAUGAUGUGAACCCCUCAACAAGGCAAAUGAUCAAUGUAGCCGCUGAUGGAACUUUAAACAAAAAAAACACCUAAAGAGGCUUACGAAUUUAUUGAAGAGAUGUCACUGAAUAACUAUUAGUGGCAAGUCAUUAGAAUAAAACCGACAAAAGUAGCUGGUGUUUUCAGCCUCGAUGCGGUCACUAUGCUAGCUAACUAGGUAAAACUUUUAAAUAAAAAAA